rnacentral:lncRNA from 1 species
AUUCGGGAACGCCGGUUCCAGAGUCUCCCCGUCCACUCCCCACGGAAGCUGUAAGAAAGAGUUCUAACCCCACCCCAUCGGAUUGGAAGUACCUAAGCUGCCGGCCCACUGUGUUUGGAGUGACUUCUCUCAGUCCAUCUCAAUUUAGACCACUCCCCAUGGAGGCAAAUGCCUUCCCGGCUUCCUUCUCCCCCCCACCCUGGCUUCUAGGUCUCUGAGAUCCUCCAGUGUUUUCGCCCCAGGCUCCUGGGAACCAUCUCACCCACCCCCUUAAACUCCCUCCCUCUAGCCUGGGAACCCGGAGGAAGCCCAUCCUGGAUCACCUCUGGAUCAAGAGUACUCUCCCUGUCUCCCCUUCUCCAAAUCCAUGUCCCCGCCUCAAUCCCCUGGCUGAAAUCAGCCAAGAAACUGUCAAAGCCAAAGGCUGAGGCAGCCAGCCACUCCUGCUCAAAUCCCUAACCCUGCUGGGGGUCUCAGUGCCACAUAAGCCACUCCCGCCCAAUUGCCUCCCACUCCUUCCCCCACCCACCUUCAAUCUAGCCAGUGUAACCCAGUGACAGUCCUUGAUGACAAGUUCCUUGCCCACCUUGACCUCCAUUCUCAAGUCACCCACCUUUUUAUUAAUGUGUGCUAGAGCUCUGGGCAACACAACCCUGACCUCUGUAAGGGUGCCCAUCCCCCUCCUCUUAGUACACCUCCCCUGCCCCCACCCCAACUACCUCUGGGAUAAGAACAUGAGAGACUCAAGUUAAUGGUUUCCUCUGGGACCUUCUGGGAACACUCAGCAGGUAUAUCCUGCCACCCUGUAUGCAUGACACUAGAAACAACUUGCUUUUUCCUGAAAAAAAAAAAAAAAAAAAAGACAUAUAACUCAGUUAAAAAUGAGCAAAGGAUCCGAGUAGACAUUUCUCCAAAGAAGAUGUGUAUAUGGCCAAUAAGCACAUAACAAGAUGCCCAAUGUCAUUAGCCAUCAGAGGAGUUCAAAUCAAAGCCACAGUGAGACACCACUUCCCACCCACUAGGAUAGCUGUAAUCAGAAAGAUAGAUAAUACCAAGUGUUAGUAAAGAU